GUGAGGAGAAAAAAAACCCACCAGGGUGGAUUG
rnacentral:rRNA from 3 species